UUUAGAAGCUUCAGAGACGAGGUCUUCAAGUAGAAUCUGGAUCAACCGACCUGAUCAGGGGAGGUUCUGAAAGUAUAAAGAGAACCUUCCCAGGCUGCUGUCCUGCAUCAAUACAAUCACUAGUUCCACCUUGGAUUUAGAAGACUCCUCUGGAAGGACUAAAUCUUCAAAGUAAUAAUAUUAUUUGUAAAACACCUCCCUUGGCAAAUUUUGCUGGACCAUGAAAAUACUGCAAUAAAAAUGUCAUUUGGAAUGUUAUGUAAAAUCAUUCAAGAGAAGAACAAAUAAAGGAGCCUGGGAUGGAGAAAAUUAGCUUGGAUACCAGUGAAACACACUGAAUCAAGAGGGAUCCACAUAGGAAACAUCUGUGGAGGGAAAGGUUUCUUGAUCUUUCUUUUCUUUCACUGCCACUUGAAAAACACCCACAACAACAACAACAGCAACAGGAGCAUUUUAACAGUCAAAACAUGGGGUGACACUUGGGAAAUAAAAUAG